rfam:Schistosoma haematobium scaffold195_8, whole genome shotgun sequence.
AUCCAGAUGACGAGUCCCAAAUUGGACUAAACGCGCGUCCUGGAU